CCUACGGGAGGCAGCAGUGGGGAAUAUUGCACAAUGGGGGAAACCCUGAUGCAGCGACGCCGCGUGAGUGAAGAAGUAUUUCGGUACGUAAAGCUCUAUCAGCAGGGAAGAAAAUGACGGUACCUGACUAAGAAGCCCCGGCUAACUACGUUCCAGCCGCCGCGGUAAUACGUAGGGGGCAAGCGUUAUCCGGAUUUACUGGGUUUAACGGGAGCGUAGACGGCAGCGCAAGUCUGAAGUGAAAUCCCAUGGGUUAACCAUGGACCUGCUUUGGAAACUGUGCAGCUGGAGUGCAGGAGAGGUAAGCGGAAUUCCUAGUGUAGCGGUGAAAUGCGUAGAUAUUAGGAGGAACACCAGUGGCGAAGGCGGCUUACUGGACUGUAACUGACGUUGAGGCUCGAAAGCGUGGGUAGCAAACAGGAUUAGAUACCCUAGUAGUC
rnacentral:rRNA from 1 species